rnacentral:rRNA from 1 species
UACGAAGGGGGGCUAGCGUUGCUCGGAAUCACUGGGCGUAAAGCGCACGUAGGCGGAUCUUUAAGUCAGGGGUGAAAUCCUGGAGCUCAACUCCAGAACUGCCUUUGAUACUGGGGAUCUCGAGUCCGGGAGAGGUGAGUGGAACUCCGAGUGUAGAGGUGAAAUUCGUAGAUAUUCGGAAGAACACCAGUGGCGAAGGCGGCUCACUGGUCCGGUACUGACGCUGAGACGCGAAAGCGUGGGGAGCAAACAGG